AUGCAACUGAAGAGCGCCAAAUAGGACAAAACGCGCUUCCUGGAU
rnacentral:hammerhead_ribozyme from 1 species